GCACAGCAACUCGACACGAACACAAGUUUGUGAUAACUGCCAUGUUAGUGACUACAACACAGAAAGCCCCCUGACGUGACAGCAGGGUGAAAUGCACAAUUGCAAAAACCCAAACUUAGAGAUUGUGCAGCUGCUUCUGAGGACACUGGCCCGGAUCGAGCCUUUUUUUCAGCUCCAUGUCACAACAGAACAACGGCUGUUUUAAAGGGACGGGGGAAACAACGAGCACAGUCUCACUCGUACAAAGAUCGACCGCUUAAUUCACAACUAUAACGCAGGUCACAGUCAGGUGAUUACAGCUGGGAGAUGCUUCCACCACAGCCGUCCGCCUCCGACAGAGUAGACCUGCUGCCUGCCACAGUUUAACGGAAGGAAAGGGACUUUUUAGGACUUACGCUAAACGAGAAGUGCCUCACUGACACACAUUGAAGGUUAACAGAACUCGUGGCGGUGUGAGUAGAAAUUUACCCGGGACUGGAAAAAGUGAGGUCUGUUCAAGAACACCAGGGCUGCGAAGUGCAUGAGCGGUGCCCGGAAACGGCCCAUGUGGGUGAGGCUAACGGCUAACGGCUAACGGCUGCCGUUGCUCAGACAGCUGAUCUUUCACUGCGCGUUCUGGCCUUCACUUUUAACUGCAACUCUAACAAACAUGUUUUGAAGAAAAGAAAAAAACAAGCUGUCUCCAAUAUCAAAUAUCCAAUGUUCGUGAACGUCGCGGCUGUGUGGGAGCAACUGACGACAUCAGUGCAAUUCCCGACGACAUUGCGGUGGAAUCGCUGCCUUUUGCGCAAAGCUAAAGUUAAACUGUAUUUUGGGGUUGAAUUCAUAUGAAUAAGCCGGUGAAGUUGCAUGAAAUGUAAAAAAAAAAAGGGAUGAAGAAUGAAAAUUGUAGAUUCCAAUAAGGGUCAUUUGUAGUUGAAGAAUGAAAAUUGUAGAUUCUAAUAAGGGUCAUUCGUAUUUUUAGUUUGUGAAAUUAUGUUCCCAAAUAAUUUCACAACCUGCCUAUAUUACUUUUUAGUCGAUGUAAAAAUGUGUACUUGAAUUUGUGAAUUUGUGAAGCAAAAAAAGUCUAUGGUAAAAACAACACAAACACAAAUGUGUCAUCGCAUUUGUGCACAAAUAUUUUGAUCAGUUUUACAAAGUUUAUGGAGGAGACACAAAUUCACAAGCUCCAAAUUUCAAGCACAUAUUUUGACCCUGACUGUAGCUCAGCACUGACCCUCCAAUCAGAAUAAAUCUUGAUGGUGGGUUAUUGUUUUAUGUUUACAAUAUAUUGUGUUGCAAAUAUAAUAAAACAAGAUAAUAAAAGGGGGACAACAAUUUAGCAUUUAAAUGGCAAUCCUGAAAUACCCUUUCAUUUAUUCAGUUUAGCUCAAGCACUAAUAAUUGUUAAAAAUUACCCAGCUGAGUUGCUCUCCUCUCGCCCUCUUUGUCCAAUCAGAGGCAAGGUAGGGGCAGGUCUCUGGCCUUGAUUGGACAGUUUGAUUUCUUCUGUCUGGAGUGUCAGGUCGACUUAGAGGUACAGGGUCAAAAUUAAUGUUUGUAAUUAAUGUUUGUAGCUUGUAACUUCGGUGUCACAACAAGGUUGAUAGGCUUACACAAAUCCAUAGACACAGAAUUAACAAAAAAAGUCAUGUUGCUCUUUGACAUAACAUCAGACUACAGACAACUGCAAAAAUGGGUCUGUCCUCAGGCUCAUUUUCAGUUUCUGAUGACAGGAAAGUAGGAAAAACAGUUUAAAAAUUAUAACAACCUCUUUCUGAACAAUUUCUUUAACCACAAGACGCACAUUGAGGCUAUCCCAUGUGAUGUCCCUUUGAAAACUAAUGUAAUGGCUAAUGUCAUAUUGUUUUACUUCCCUUCACUGAGCCCCUCCUGUCGACGUUCACCUUCCAUUUUGAGAAACAUAAGACAGACUAAAAGCUUAUCACCGAGAUUAUGCUCAUCUAUUGGAGCUGAUUUUUGGCUACAAGUUGUGGCUAUAAACAAAUAAUAAUUGGUAAGUAAUGAAUCCUAAACAGGGAGACUUAAACUAAAGGCUACUCUUUUUAUUUAGGUUGGCUUAAUUUUUGGUGUGUCUUCCCCAAAACUGUCACAUGAAGGCACAUUUUUAUAUAAAUAUGCAGCACAUGUGUAUAACAAUUAAUUGUGUUUGUGUUGUAAAAAAAGUUGUACAGCCAUGUUGACUUUGCCUGUAUCAGCGUCAUCCCUGCUCUCGUCAACAGUGUUGCUAAGCAACUGUGGGUUCCUCACAGUCACUAUGGUAACCUGAACCAGUGUGUUUCCAAUCAAAUGUGCAGUUGAUAUUCUUAAUUUUUGUCCCUUCUAUGUCAGAGAAAAGAACAUAUUUUGAAUGUGUAUCACUACAACACAGCCUUUGAACCUUGACAACACAUUAAAGCUGUUAUGUUCAGCCACGCUUGUAAAAAUAUGCGCCCACACAAUGUAGGUGGCAAAAAAUGUGGGAAACCUUUUUUGUAAUAAACUGUAUGUAAAUUUGUAAAAGUGCAAUUUUGAAUGUGUGAUUUUUGUUUGUGUAUUUUAUUAGUUAUGUUCCAUUAGCAGAUUAACGCCACAAACUGUGUGUUGUAUUUCUCUUUUUUCUCCACUAAGUGGGGCAGUUUUACAGCGAUUCGGGUUGUGAGCUGUUUUUCAAAGUCAUUUCUACAGGUGAACAAAUGUGACUGUUAGGAUUAAUAAUUGACCUGUUGAUCAUAUUUGGAAAAUUUCAAAAUAACAACCCUCUGCUGGUUAAGGUGACUACUAUGUCGUACUGCAAGUAAUCUGAAAAUGUAACACCCAUCUCUUUUUGUCUAUAUAUCCAUUUUGACUUAUUUUACAUUGCCUGGGUUAUUUGUUUUAUCUGUCAUCCUCUUGCAACAUUUGUCCUUUCAGACUUCUUGACCUGAAACCGUUUCCAAGAAUUAUCCCCUUUGCUCUUUUACCUGUUCACUCUUAUCUCUGUAUUACCAGUUUGUUUAUUACAUUAAUCUGUUGUCUAAUAAUUACCAAUUGUGGAUGUCAUUGGCUUAUUUUCCCGGAAGACACUGAUAUGUUGCCAUAGAAACAAAGUUAUAAUUACUGUCCCACAUUUUAUCCCACCACUCAAAACACUCAGCACAGUGGAGAAUAGCUUCGGGGGGAAAUGACCCUAAUUCUAUAAAGUCAUUACAGCAAUAAAUAAAAAAAAGUUUUAUUAAUUUUCA